AGCACCUGGAGGCUGUGGCCUCAGUGCCUGAGGACUCCUUGGAAUGGGACAGAAUGCAAAGACAGUGUCCUCAUCCUGGUGGGAAAACAGUAGGUCUGGGGAAUUCACUUCCUGUCUCAGUGAUAACAUCCCCUGUGACUUGGUGCAAGUCACCUCACGGUCAUGUCCCCGGCUCCCUCCGUCCUGGUCAAUAGGAGUUGGAGUGGGCAGUGCUCCAGAUGACCUUGUGGAAGUGGCGAGAGGCCACGAUUUUCCUUGGUGGCACUUCCCCAAAGAUGUGGCUGCCACCUACCAGGCUACCAUUUGGAGACAGUUGCUUUGGAGGAAUCCCGGCUCAGGCUGCUGGAAUCUGGACCCACACUUCCAAAACCUCAGUGUCCUGAUCGAUGCUUUACAAGCUGGCUUUGCCCACCUGUCCCGUGGAACACCCUUCCUCCACUGGUCUUUUGAAAUCAUUGCUGUUGGAUGGAUUUUGCUGCCUCUGCUACCAGACGGUAAGUAAACCCUUCUGUCACUUUCUUGCUGUGUGUCCUGGUAAGACUCUUCUCCACAUUGAGACUUUCCCCCUGCUCACUGGCAAAACGGGAUUGAGAUGUUGUGAGUUUUAUCCAUGUGGUAUAGACGGAGCCUGCUGCAGGGUACUGAGUGUGGGUCUGGGGGUCUGAGAUGUCCCUUCAUCAGCAGCCUUUAUAUCAGCAGCCACACCUCCUCUGUAGGGUUUCACUCCAGUUUAGCAAUCUGAGGACCGGGUCUCGCCUGGAGCCACGUCCUUGCCUGGCAGGGUGGGUCGAGGCAUGACUCACUAUGACCAGAGACUCACCCUUGAGUCACUUGGAUCAGGCAGCCCAGGACGGAUGUGACGUCAUCAGCAAAUACAAGCAGUCAUAGACACAGGGACAGCUCUGUUUGUGUUGGAGAUAAACACCACCCGGGCCGGACUUUGCGGAAAAGGUGAAGGACACCAGGAUCAUAGGUUUUAACUUCAUAUGAUGACGUGUUUGUGGAAGGACCAGAGAAUCUCAGGGUGAGAAAAUCACUGGGGAUUGCUCUGCGGCCGAGGAAGGCGUGUCCUUGGCUACUGCGGGGAAAGGUUGCCUCUACUUUGAGGUUGUGCUGUUGUCUCCUCCAUGUCUCUAUCUUUUAUAAUCCAACUAGAGGAUCUCCUAAUAAAUACUCUGCCUCCUGUUACUGUAUGUUUCAGCUAAAAGACAUAUCGCACUGGCCAGGCGUGGUGACUCAUGCCUGUCAUCCCAACAGUUUGGGAGGCUGAGGCAGGUGGAUCACUUGAGGUCAGGCAUUUGAAACCAGACUGGCCAACAUGGUGAAACUGCACCUCUACUAAAAAUAUAAAAAUUAGCUGGGUGUGCGUGGCGCGUGCCUGUAAUCCCAGCUACUCAGGAGGCUGGGGCGGGAGAAUCGCUUGAACCCAGGAGGCGGAGGUUGCAGGGAGCCGAGAUUGCGCCACUGUACUCCAGCCUGGGCAACAAGAGUGAAACUCUGUCUUAAAAAAAAAAUAGACAUACCCUACCCUGGGAGGUAGGGGCGGCUGUUUAGCCCAGGAGAGCUCAUUCAAUCCCUAGCUCUGUGCCUGCCUCCCUUGCUGCAUAGAGAACUGAAACCAGUCUCCCCUGUGUAAACCCAGGGCCCCCAUCGGGCCUGAAUUCUGUCAUUUUCUUCAGGGUCAUGUGACCCUCUGUUAUACAACAAGAGAGGUGAUGGGAUUUCCUUCCGGGGUAGUGAAAAGGUUUUGAACUAGUCAGAGGUGAGGAUUGCACAACAUUGUGAACAUACUGGAUCUCCC
ensembl:lncRNA